AUGCUCACUUCAGCAGCACAAACACUAAAAUUGGAACAAUACAGAGAAUACUAACAUGGCCUCUGUGCAAGGAUGACAUGCAAAUUCGUGAAGCGUUCCCUAUUUUU